GGGUAAAAAGAUGGAAGGAAAAUCAAAACCGAACGUGGUAUCAUAUCCCGUGUUCCAUGCAUCGACGAUACAUCGAUUCGAUACAUCAAUAAGAAGGGAAGCGAUGCGGAAGAAGUUUUAGCGCGCGUCAUUUUUCCAGGAUCGAAGAGGCUAGAUCUCCUACGAUCUUCGUCGAUUACGUCGAAAGAAAGUCGCGAGAGCAGAAAGAUCCAUAAAUCGCUGCGACAGCGGCGCGACUCGCAGGCCGGACAGGCAUAGAGAGCCAGACAGUCGCCAGGCAGACGGACACCAGACGGAGACGACGGAUCCUGGUCGGACACGGGAUGAUCCGGGACGAACGAGAGAUUUUCGAGAGAGAUUAGAAGUUGGAGCGAUGCUUCUGGAGUUCGGGACCGAUCCCCCUCGGAACCGGCCCUGUCGAUGUCGAUACGCCACGCUUCAUCCCCCGCGGAUAAUCGUUCUUGCACGGCCGGAUAAAACCGGACGCACGGCUACCGAAUCCAUCGAUCGGGCAAUCUCCAACGAUCGAUCGCUGAAAAAAAAAGAAAAUCGAUAUCGAGUCGAUCUGUCGAAAGACCGAACGAAUAAUUCCCUUGCCAAACAAUUUACAAUCAACCUUCUCGAUCGUCUUUUCUCCCUCGUAUAAAAUCAAAUUCCCUCUCGCUCCCUCUCCCCCCCAAAACUAUCCCACUUUUCCAUUAACCUUCUCCUUAACACAAGUUGGUGUGACUCGUACGAUUUUCCCCAGAUCCAGUUCGUGCGCGACACAGAAGUCUGUGGAAGCGGGCUAAGGAUUCACUUUCUCGGCCCUCGGAGUCGGGGGAAAUAAAUGAUGAGCUUGACAGGUCCGCUCGUAACGGAGGAGGAGGAAGGAGGGACGAAAGAGGAGAAGGAAGGCGAGAAGGAAGGUGAGAUCGGGACGAGGCGGGCUUCGAACGAGGAGAGCCAGAUAUCCUCCCCCUUCCCUCCGCCAUCCCUCUUCCCAUCUCGAAACAAAUUAUCAACGCAUCAAAUAUAACUUAGCUCGGCUACCGUAUUCUUAAGCCGUCCCUCCCCUCCUAUCCCCGGCUUCUCCGAGGCCGUCUUUAUUAUUUCUUAUUUACUCGUCUGGUUUUAUUGGCGGGAACCAGAGCCCUCUUCUCGGCCCGCCACUUUUAAUUGGCCGUUCGUACGUGCCACCGAUGAUUCGGUGCUUCAACGAGUUUACACGCGACUCGAUCGUUAACGACAUCCUUUCCGCUAUCUCGUUCGAACGGAUAUCUACAACGAACAGUUCUCUUUCUCCUUCUCCCUCUCCGUCUUCUUCUUCUUCUUUUAUCUUUUAUCUUUCUUUUUUUCUCUCUCUCUCUAUAGCAAGAUCGAUCGCAAGAAUAUUCUAUUAGCCUCUGACCCUAAAAAAACUAUUCAAGAAAGUCUUCCUAGAAGUCUCGUCUUCUGAUGCACGUUGCUCGUUUAACCGAUGGCCGCGAUCGUUCCAUCCUAGGUAUACGAUCCUAGGUAUACCUUCCACCGCAUCAGUAUUCCAGUCCCAUUUCUCGUUAACGAAUGCUUAUCCAGCAGCGAUUUUAUUUAUAACGCGCGGCCGCCAUCGAGGCGACCCUGAUCUUUGAGCGACAAUGAAAAUUACCGCGUACAACUUGCGAUUCCUUGCUUCGUUUUCCCGUGCAAACGUCCAACAGAUUUAUUCGACGCGCGUUGGACGCGGAAAUUAGCCGGCAACUCUUCUCUCGAUCCUCCACCCUUUAAUAAACCUCGAUCCCGUUUAUCGACGACCGCUCCAGGCAAACAGAUAUGGAACGGAUCGAGUCGUCCUCGUCCACGAAUUCCCAUUCGUGGCGCACAACAACGGCACCGUUAUUUACACCUCUUCCAACUCCGAGCGGAUCGACAGUCGACAAACGCGCUCCUCCUCGAGGAUGACAAUUAAAUUUCCCUCGAGUCGGAAAAAUUAUUCAUCGAUCAAGAUCUCGAAGAUCUCUUGAACGUGUCUUUCUUCCCUCCCCUCCAUCUGCCAUCGAAGAGGCAUCGUGGAAAGAUCUUUCGACCGGAGUUGCACGACUCGAGACGGCGAUUUCCGCGCCAAUAAAAACCUCGCUCGCGCAUAAUUUAGCGCUCUGUAGGGUAAUACAACCCCACCCAGAGCGGAACCACCGUGCUGCUGCAUGCAACCCCGCGCCGAGAAACGCGGGCGAGGAGCAACGAUAAACGUUAACUCUCUGGAUACUGGAACGAUGCCAGCCGUGCCUUCGUUCAUAAAUCCGCGCACGUCCCGCGCCACUACUCAGUCACCGAAUGCAAUCGUGAUUUCGCCUCUCUGGAAAAAAAAGGCACAACUUCUCGCUCGGAGUUGAACUUGGAGUCAUACUUGGUGUUCCAGGUGACGUGGAGAGGUUUUACACAAGUUUAGAGAAGAGAUUAGGUGGUUGGAAUCGGAGAAAGUUUCGGGCAAAGAUUCGGCAGGGAAACGGAAGAGGGGUGGGUUUGGGUCUUUUUGGAGAUAUUUCGGGCGAGAGAAAGGAAGGAAGGGAGAACGGGUGCUGGGAGAAUGAUGGAUUAGCAGGCGGAUUUAGGGAGAAGAUUGUAGGGGGGGAGGGACGAGGGAAAGUUUUGCUAUUCGUCGUCGUGGCUGAGGAAUGAGAUUAUAUUUGGGGAUUAGGGUUAACGUGGAGUUAUUAACUUUGAUAUGUAGCUUAUUUGUAGUGUGCGCUAUUGUGAAUUGCCAAGAUCAUUUGCAAUCUGGAAUACGACGGAUAUUGAAUCGAAGGGUUAGGAUCUUCGAGAAUGAUAGUAGCAGGUUGACAAUUCUCUUUUUAUUGUCAUUCAAAGAACCGAUUUUAUUAUGAAAAUUCGUUGAGUCGUUCUAUUUAUGUAUUAUCCUACGAGAAUAAUCUAAUCGACUUAAUUAAGAAACACGAGGAACUCUUAGAAAAAGAAAAGCUGUGACAUCGAUCAGUCAAACGAUUCUCAAAAAUUCUCAUCUCCAUAUUCCCACCAAUCUCGAGAAAAAAAAAAAGAAAUCGAUCUUAGAAAGACAGCAACGUGCAGAACGCCGAGAAAAGAAAAUCAAGAUGAGAGGACUCUCCAAGGGAUAUUUGGCAAACGAUGUCAAGAGCAAGAGACGCAGAGCGGUGCAAAAGGAAAUUUUCCAGUGGAAAUCUUGCUCCACUCUUGGCAGCCGACCUUUACGAGAUUCUUGCAGCGCGCGAGGUUAAUGGCGCAGGAAAGGCGCUAUAGUCGCCGGCGUCUCCGGCCUCUUUCACGAAGUGGAUUACAAGUUCGACGGACACGUUUGGUCGGAACGAAAGCGUGGGCCACGUUUGGCCAACGUCCAAACCCGUAUCGCGACGGAGACCUCCUUAUCUGAGAGACGAGAAGCGUUAUCGUGGCUCGGUUCGAAAAGUUUGCUUUGCGACACGCCUUCCACGGAAUCGUAUUAGCUUGUCGGGCAAGGCCGAGGUGACGAUCGUUUCCGAUCCAUAUGUCGCGUUAUUGCGGCCUGUUGUCUAACUGUGCAUGGAAUAUUAAAAGUCCUGUCCCCUGCGUUAGAGCUGCCUUAGAGACGCACGAGACGCAUCCUUCGUGGAAGGAUUAAACAAGCGACGGCCAUGAACGCUCGACGAACGAGAUAUUGCGUCUCCCGUCUCUGAACACGUUACACGUUCGUUGCUCGAGUGUCGGUCGAAACUCGACGAACAAUUCGAUCCGUGAUAGAACGAUUGUGAUGAGAUAUUUUGAAACUAAUGCGAGGAUUUUUUUAUCCAGAAUUGUAUUGGAUAAGUUUGGGGAGCGAAAGAUUCUUGGAAUAUUAUUUCGAUAGACGAAUAAAUUUAUAAAGAAUCUAUCAUCGAAAGUAAUAGGAAGGGACAAGAUUUGGAAAAGAGAAUUUUUCGUAUUAUAAUUUUACAUUCUGACGUUGUAGCACAUAUUAUGUAUUGUGAACACGGCCAAUAUUAAUUUUACGUUAAAUUUAAUUUGUGAUAAAACAUUUGCAUAUAUCAUUGAGAUGAUAAAUUCGUUCGCUUUUUAUUUUACCUCAAAACCAUUCGAAUCAAAAUUUUCGAACGUAAAUACAACGAUAACGCCGAAAGUUUUGUAUCGUAACAAGAGGAUCUUUUCGCUCGACCACCACAUGGAGUUCCGGUUCUUACGCAAUCCGCGCGUGUAGUUUCGCAUGCAUAAGUCGCUGUGCUCGAACCAGCGCGUGAGAAGGGGGGGAAAGAGGGAAAGGAGGACGGAGGAAGGAAGGAAAGAAAGAAAGAAUCGCAUGCACGCACGCGUAUCGACGCCAGAAAAGUUUUAAUGACGACGGCCCUUCCCCAUUAUGCACGCGAUAGUCGCGCUUUUUUCCCCCCCUCGCCCCCCCUUACCGAUGCUCCUCAAAUAGAGGGACGCGCAAGAAAAACGAUCGAGCUUCUUCGUCGUCCCCGCUCGACAGAGAUCUUCCCCCACGUUUCUAUUCUCGGACGAAAAAUCGAGGAAACAGGGCUACGUUUCUCGGGAUCGCACUCGUGCAUUUCGAAACGAUUAGAACUCGAGAGAGAGUUUCGGCUCAAUCAUUGAUAUCUUGUUCUUUUUUUUUUUUUUUUUAAUUCAGAAAUCAAAUUUUAAUCAAAUUUUCCUACCGAUAAUCGAUCAAUGCCACCGCAAAAUACUCGCGGUCCAUCGACUCUACCCCCUUCCCUUUCCUCCCCCGCAAAGCGAAUCUCCGCAACCCCGCAUCGUAAACAAAACAAUCGAGCCUCGACCAAACCGCAAUUCGAUCGUUCCGCGUCAUGGUCGGUGAAUCGUGCGACAAUAUUUGUCCUGGCGCGAAAUCCCUGUUCGGGGGAGAGAGGAGAGAGAAGCGUAAUUUUAAUCGCGGCCUCGUUUUAUCAUCCAACGAAGUCUAAUGCCCAACAAUGAUCUAAUUGGUCGAUCGAUUGGACAAACCGUUGCUAAUCCGGCCGCGUAAUCUCCUUUUCUUCCGCAAAAAAAAAACGCUUUGCGCCCCUCCCUACCUCCCUCCCUCCCUUUUGCUCGCUCUCGCGAUAAAAAUCGCGUCGCGUCGCGUGCGCGUUUUUUUUUUUUACGAUUUCCACGUUCGCCAAGUUCGAAAAAACACGCUCGAUUCGCGGGAGGGGUGGCCGCCCUCCAAAUUCCCCGGAACUGUAUUCCACGACGUAAUUGUAGAAUAGAAAGGAGGAAGGGAGAGGCGGAAAAAAAAAGAAGGCAAGGAUUGCCGGCGGACGGGAAAAAAAAGGCAAAGAGAAGGGAAAAACGAGAGGGGCGAAGCGAUAUCGUCCUCGAUCACGAUACUCUAGCCAGACGUGCCAUCUGAUAUCCGUCGAUCGCGAUAAACAGCGGGCGAACGAAACGAGAUCGAAUCUCGGAUAUCGCGCGAUUUAAUGGCAAUUACCGGGCGGGCGUAGCCGACAAAUUGGAACAAAUACGGGCGGGCCGAGAGAAGGUGUGCGCGCGUGGAAGGUGGAAGGUGGGCCGUAAUUAUGGUGCACCGAGGGAGGGAAGGGAGAAGGGCCUUGAAAUUUUUCGAUACCCACCGGUGCCACCGGUAACUCUGGUUUCUGGAUCCCACCCUCCCCUCCCCUCUCCCCCCCGGGAACGCGAGACUAGGUCAAGUGUACGCGACUCGACCGCACGAAGGACAAGUCGUACUUGUCCCGCGGCCGACCGCCGACUUACGACUUGCCGCGUUACGACGGCCACGAAAGUAAAAGCCGAGCGGGCGAACGGGCCACCGAUCAUCUCUCGCGACGCGCACCGCCGCCGCCUCCUUCGAGACACCUUUCUCGGGGCACACGGUCGGUCCCUCCCCUUGGUCGUGCGGGACAGGUUCUUGGCAAGGCUCGCGAUCGCGAUACCGGUCCUCGGAUGGAUGAAAUAUCGAGGUGAACUCGUUGAACGUCGAUUCCGUCGGGUUUGAUAAAGUUAUGUAAAUGGAGGAGAGAUGGGGAAGCGCAUUUCUGCAUCGUACGAGAAGAUUUUUUUGUCAGAAUUGUACCGAUCGAUUUCUGGAUAGAAUCAAGAUAGGUGUUGUUCCUUAAUUGUGAUUCCUUAUCUCAGAGGGCAAUAUUUCGAGUACAAUGCAUUUUUAAAAAUCGUUUGGAUUGAUCGAUGGAUCAUUGUGGUUGGUAGAUUGAAAAUGGGAUCGAGAAUUUGAAUAAUUAGUUCACGCCAUACGAUGUAUUUUAUUAUAUAUAUACGAUAAUCUCACGUUGUUACGUCAGAAUGAAAAGAAGUUUUAUACGUGGUGUAUAUAUACGUGUAUAGUUGAUGCUGAGUUAUUCUCGAUGACACUGCAUAAAAGAAAUCUUUUCUCGAAAGAUUCCAAGUAGCACUUGAGACGUAGGCAAGUGGACAAUGGACUGGAAUAUGGUGAAUACAAGGAAGAAGUUUGUCGCAUUUACGUAUGUUCUCUACGUCCAACGGAAUCAAUUAUUCAGCGUGCGUAAACCGUCUCCCACGAAGGUUUCAAUUACACGACGAUUCGUAACGAUAUUACACUUAACGUUGGCGACCAGAACAAAUGCCAGACUGAUCUUUUACGAGGACAAGGAGAGCGACGCAACGACGAUCGAACGGCAUCGUGACUCGAUUCGAUCGCGUUUAACAGGUCUAAUGAACACUUAGCGUUUAACAUAAAACAACAAACGACUCGUGCCUAGAUUAGACAAGCAACCUAUACGGCAAAUUGCGUUCCCUUCUGUCUCCCUCCUUCUGCACUUCUGAUCUUUUGUUUACACGGUCUAAUGCGAUCGGAAUGCGAAACUUUUCCAUAUCCGUUGCCAAAAGUUUUUUACUGCACGAUUUAUUUUUUUUUACCAUCGCGGUUUUUUAAAUCUCUCCAGACUCGAGGAUCGAUUAUAUAUUGUAAAAUUCGUCCGAUUCGAUAUUUUUCGGAAACGAAUUGACAAAAAAUAUUAAUAAUAGAAUGUAUAUAUAUGGAACGAAAAAUUUAUUAAAUAUAAAACAAAUUUUAGCUGGAAGAUAGACGAAUAUUAAAUAAUCUAAUUAGAAUUUAAUAAAGUGCAAUUAUUCGAGUAGAAUUAAUAUCUAUUCCGAAGAAACCGGACGAUUUAUCUCUCGAUGAAGUUGAUUAAUUCGUCUUCUGCGUGAUUUCUGAUCUUUCGACUCGCGAUUUCGAAGAGGGAGGGGGGAAAAAAAUUGAGAGAUUUCAAAUUCAGAUCAAUGUUCAGCAUCGAACCGGAGUUCUUCUAUUCAGAAUGGAACACGUCGAGGUAUCGAAACCUCGGAGGCAGUUAAUUAAGAUUAGCUCAAUUAUACGCGUUUAACCCACUUUCGCCUUGGUUGCGCAAAAUCGUUCAACGAUCUGAAACACUGCGACAGAUGCUAAUAACGAUUUCCACCGGUUUUAUAAUAAGAGCAGCCUGCAAAAACCGACGACCGGCUUCGCCGCACACGAACGCUCUCGCGUACUCUGCCUAAUGAGCCGCAAUUAAUCUCACAAUUCGAACGUAUGUAUUUAUUAAACAACCUCGGUGACGAUCUCGACGAGGAAUCAUUCGUGGCUACGAUGACUCAUCAUCGUGACUUUUAUUCCUUUAACGAUCCAUCUUAUUAACAAUCCGUUUCCAACCCUUUAUGUAUCUCCGAGCAAUAUUUAUUUAACCAUCGUAGGGAUUAUUUUAAUUUCUUCUGUGCCCAUUGAAACGGAAUUAUUUCAUUUAUUGAAAUGGAACGGAACGUUUGUUUGUCUAUAUCUACGCAAAAGGAGGAGUAGCCAAGGAUAGAAAUAUCAUUCAAAAGAAAUAAUUUGAACAAGUGGUAAACAAAUGGAAGAAUUAAUAUAUCUUUUCAGAUAUGUCGUUCCAAUAAUUAUAAUCAAUCCCCGCAACAUUUGAUUCAACGCGAAACUUGACGUUUAAUAUCGAGCCACUCGUGGCUGAAUUCGCAUCGCAAUUUUCAAAUGCUGCCACUCGUUGACUGGAGAAAAAAAAAAAGAAGAAGAUGGCCACGAAAGAGUUAA